rnacentral:rRNA from 1 species
UANNNAAUCUUCGGCAAUGGGGGCAACCCUGACCGAGCAACGCCGCGUGAGUGAAGAAGGUUUUCGGAUCGUAAAGCUCUGUUGUAAGNGAAGAACGAGUGUGAGAGUGGAAAGUUCACACUGUGACGGUAACUUACCAGAAAGGGACGGCUAACUACGUGCCAGCAGCCGCGGUAAUACGUAGGUCCCGAGCGUUAUCCGGAUUUAUUGGGCGUAAAGCGAGCGCAGGCGGUUAGAUAAGUCUGAAGUUAAAGGCUGUGGCUUAACCAUAGUACGCUUUGGAAACUGUUUAACUUGAGUGCAGAAGGGGAGAGUGGAAUUCCAUGUGUAGCGGUGAAAUGCGUAGAUAUAUGGAGGAACACCGGUGGCGAAAGCGGCUCUCUGGUCUGUAACUGACGCUGAGGCUCGAAAGCGUGGGGAGCAAACAGGAUUAGAUACCCUGGUAGUCCACGCCGUAAACGAUGAGUGCUAGGUGUUGGGUCCUUUCCGGGACUCAGUGCCGCAGCUAACGCAUUAAGUANUCCGCCUGGGGAGUACGACCGCAAGGUUG